AACCAUUGUCUCUUCAAGUAACCCUCAAGAAGUUGAGCUCGAUACUGCAAGCACAUCUGAAGCCUCAACUUCCAAACAACAUUUUGGAGAUGUAGAUGCACAACAGAUUAUUGAUUUACAACUACAGCAACUCCAAAAUGCAAUGGAGUGUGAUGAACCCAGAUCAGCAGCAUCUCAUGAUUGGGCAUUGAGGCAAACCUUGUCUGAAGAACGCUGGGAGGAAGCAAGGCCAAAACUCCUUGAUAGUUUGCUUGCUUCAGACUGUGUGCAUUAUGGUCCUUGUGAUCACUGCAGCUUAAAAACAAGCAGUCAUCAGAUGCAAGGACUGUUUCCCGAAACCCCGUUACUGUGGCCAGUGUGACGUUUCUAUGCAUCAACAUCUUGUUUUUCACAACCGAGAGACUCUUAUAGAUGGAUUCUAUAAACGUCUCCCACCAUCAACUGCUGUGCAAGACCUAAGUGGCCAAAAUGUCAUAU